rnacentral:snRNA from 1 species
GUGCUGGCUUCAGCAGCACAUAUACCUAAAAUUGGGAACAAUAAAGAGAAGGACUGCAUGGGCCUGCACAAGGAAUGACACACAAAUUGCAUGAAGUGUGUCCAUAUAUA